GUGAAAGUGGCUCAGUGGUAGAGUGCUUGCCUUGCAUGCAUGAGGCCCUGGGUUCAAUUCCUCAGUACCACA
rnacentral:tRNA from 1 species